UGCUGAAGCGGUGAGCAACUGAGGAGAACUGUCUGAGCUCCAGAGAAGACUCAUCAUCGUUUGUCUCAUCAUCAUCUGAGCCAAGAUGACAGUAGCGCUCUGACCGUGCUGCAGGGAACAGAGCACACAAAAAAGAAACCUGCGGAGUUUUUCAUGCGAGAACAAACCUGUACAGGUGUUGCCUCUCCAGAAUCGUCAGACUCCCUGCUGGCUGACCUCUGACAUGGACUAGUCUGCUCCAAGUGGACCAUCUCUGCAGGACCAGAGGAGAAACUGCAUCAAGCUUAAAUGAACAGCAGUGAGGACAGCACGGAUUUGGCUGCAGUCACUAUCUCAUGCACAUUUAGGGGAGGAAAACCCACCUCAUGGAGCAGUUUCUCCAGCUUUUCCUGCAGCUCCACAAAGUACCUGGAGGUGACCAGCCCAUCCUGGGACUUGUCCAGACAGUCCCUGGCAAGCUCCACCAGCUGGU